UACGGAGGGUGCAAACGUUGCUCGGAAUCAUUGGGCGUAAAGCGCACGUAGGUGGUCUGUUAAGUCGGAUGUGAAAGCCCCGGGCUCAACUCGGGAAGUGCAUUCGAAACUGGCAGGCUUGAGUAUGGAAGAGGGUCGCGGAAUUCCCGGUGUAGAGGUGAAAUUCGUAGAUAUCGGGAGGAACACCAGUGGCGAAGGCGGCGACCUGGUCCUUUACUGACGUUGAGGCGCGAAAGCGUUGGGAGCAAACAGG
rnacentral:rRNA from 1 species